ensembl:misc_RNA Metazoa_SRP Metazoan signal recognition particle RNA
GCCAGGCGUGGUGGCGCAUGCCUGUAAUCCCAGCUACUCGGGAGGCUGAGGCUGGAGAAUCGCUUGAACCCGGGAGGCGGAGGCUGCAGUGAGCUGAGAUGGCACCACUGCACUCCAGCCUGGGUGACAGAGUGAGACUCCGUCUCAA